CAAGCCUGAUGCAGCGACGCCGCGUGAGGGAUGGAGGCCUUCGGGUUGUAAACCUCUUUUAUCGGGGAGCAAGCGAGAGUGAGUUUACCCGUUGAAUAAGCACCGGCUAACUACGUGCCAGCAGCCGCGGUAAUACGUAGGGUGCAAGCGUUAUCCGGAAUUAUUGGGCGUAAAGGGCUCGUAGGCGGUUCGUCGCGUCCGGUGUGAAAGUCCAUCGCUUAACGGUGGAUCCGCGCCGGGUACGGGCGGGCUUGAGUGCGGUAGGGGAGACUGGAAUUCCCGGUGUAACGGUGGAAUGUGUAGAUAUCGGGAAGAACACCAAUGGCGAAGGCAGGUCUCUGGGCCGUUACUGACGCUGAGGAGCGAAAGCGUGGGGAGCGAACAGGAUUAGAUACCCUGGUAGUCCACGCCGUAAACGGUGGAUGCUGGAUGUGGGGCCCGUUCCACGGGUUCCGUGUCGGAGCUAACGCGUUAAGCAUCCCGCCUGGGGAGUACGGCCGCAAGGCUAAAACUCAAAGAAAUUGACGGGGGCCCGCACAAGCGGCGGAGCAUGCGGAUUAAUUCGAUGCAACGCGAAGAACCUUACCUGGGCUUGACAUGUUCCCGACGGUCGUAGAGAUACGGCUUCCCUUCGGGGCGGGUUCACAGGUGGUGCAUGGUCGUCGUCAGCUCGUGUCGUGAGAUGUUGGGUUAAGUCCCGCAACGAGCGCAACCCUCGCCCCGUGUUGCCAGCGGAUUAUGCCGGGAACUCACGGGGGACCGCCGGGGUUAACUCGGAGGAAGGUGGGGAUGACGUCAGAUCAUCAUGCCCCUUACGUCCAGGGCUUCACGCAUGCUACAAUGGCCGGUACAACGGGAUGCGACGCGGCGACGCGGAGCGGAUCCCUGAAAACCGGUCUCAGUUCGGAUCGCAGUCUGCAACUCGACUGCGUGAAGGCGGAGUCGCUAGUAAUCGCGAAUCAGCAACGUCGCGGUGAAUGCGUUCCCGGGCCUUGUACACACCGCCCGUC
rnacentral:rRNA from 1 species